AACGAAUUGCCGCCGGGUAACGCCUUUUUCACUCCGAUAGGCCUUAGAAGGAGUGAAGCAGGGCGUUUAUUUUUU
rnacentral:ncRNA from 1 species